CCUUAGGCAUUGAUGCUGCAGACAAAAGUCAUCUGCUGUAGAAGCCCGGACGAAAACUUUCUGUUGGAGAAAUCUGGCUGGAGUCUGAUUGCUAGAGAAGUCCGUCUGAAAUUUAUCUGAUGUAGAAGCUUGUCUGAAGACUAUCCGCUAGAGAGGUCCGAUUGCAUGAGGAAUCCGACAGAAGGUUGAUCGAUAGUGAAAUUCGGAAGGCGCUAUAGAAGGUUGACCGAUAGAAGAGUCCGGAAGGCGUUAUGGAAGUUCGUCCGCUGGAGGAGUCUGGUUGGCAUUGCUGAAGUCUGGUUGGCACUGUUGAAGGUUGAUGGCUGGAG
rnacentral:lncRNA from 1 species